rnacentral:rRNA from 1 species
UUCCGGUUGAUCCCGCCGGAGGUUACUGCUAUCGGUGUUCGACUAAGCCAUGCAAGUCAUAUGUUCCUCGUGAACAUGGCAUACUGCUCAGUAACACGUGGAUAACCUGCCCUUGGGUCUGGGAUAACCCCGGGAAACUGGGGAUAAUAUCGGAUAACGCAUAUGUGCUGGAAUGCUUUAUGCGUAAAACGGAUUCGUCCGCCCAAGGAUGGGUCUGCGGCCUAUCAGGUAGUAGUGGGUGUAAUGUACCUACUAGCCAACAACGGGUACGGGUUGUGAGAGCAAGAGCCCGGAGAUGGAUUCUGAGACAUGAAUCCAGACCCUACGGGGCGCAGCAGGCGCGAAAACUUUACAAUGCGGGAAACCGUGAUAAGGGAACACCGAGUGCCAGCAUCAUAUGCUGGCUGUCCAGAUGUGUAAACUACAUCUGUUAGCAAGGGCCGGGCAAGACCGGUGCCAGCCGCCGCGGUAACACCGGCGGCCCGAGUGGUGACCGUUAUUAUUGGGUCUAAAGGGUCCGUA